UUCCAUGAUAUAAUAUGAGUAAUUAUUUUUGUUCGGAAAAGUUUGAUAGAAGGAUUUACUGUAAUAGGAUUCCUCUUGAAACAUUAUCCAGAACCAAAAAUAGUAAUAAAAUGGAUUUUUCCAAACACAGGAGGAACUAUCAUGGUACAAGGUAAAGUAAAAUGGUUUAACGCAGAAAAAGGUUUCGGUUUCAUCGAAGUUGAAGGCCAAGACGAUGUAUUCGUACAUUUCUCAGCUAUCCAAGGUGAAGGCUUCAAAACUCUUGAAGAAGGCCAAGAAGUUUCUUUCGAAAUCGAGCAAGGCGCUCGUGGACCACAAGCUGCUAACGUUCAAAAAUAAUUGAACGCAUAUAAAAAAAGACUCCGAUCUUGGAGUCUUUUUAUU
rnacentral:sRNA from 1 species